AUUGACUAAGGUUUCCAGAGGAAGGCUCGUCCGCUCUGGGUUAGUCGGGUCCUAAGCUGAGGCCGACAGGCGUAGGCGAUGGAUAACAGGUUGAUAUUCCUGUACCACCUAUAAUCGUUUUAAUCGAUGGGGGGACGCAGUAGGAUAGGCGAAGCGUGCGAUUGGAUUGCACGUCUAAGCAGUAAGGCUGAGUAUUAGGCAAAUCCGGUACUCGUUAAGGCUGAGCUGUGAUGGGGAGAAGACAUUGUGUCUUCGAGUCGUUGAUUUCACACUGCCGAGAAAAGCCUCUAGAUAGAAAAUAGGUGCCCGUACCGCAAACCGACACAGGUAGUCAAGAUGAGAAUUCUAAGGUGAGCGAGCGAACUCUCGUUAAGGAACUCGGCAAAAUGACCCCGUAACUUCGGGAGAAGGGGUGCUCUUUAGGGUUAACGCCCAGAAGAGCCGCAGUGAAUAGGCCCAAGCGACUGUUUAUCAAAAACACAGGUCUCUGCUAAACCGUAAGGUGAUGUAUAGGGGCUGACGCCUGCCCGGUGCUGGAAGGUUAAGAGGAGUGGUUAGCUUCUGCGAAGCUACGAAUCGAAGCCCCAGUAAACGGCGGCCGUAACUAUAACGGUCCUAAGGUAGCGAAAUUCCUUGUCGGGUAAGUUCCGACCCGCACGAAAGGCGUAACGAUUUGGGCACUGUCUCAACGAGAGACUCGGUGAAAUCAUAGUACCUGUGAAGAUGCAGGUUACCCGCGACAGGACGGAAAGACCCCGUGGAGCUUUACUGUAGCCUGAUAUUGAAAUUCGGCACAGCUUGUACAGGAUAGGUAGGAGCCUUUGAAACGUGAGCGCUAGCUUACGUGGAGGCGCUGGUGGGAUACUACCCUAGCUGUGUUGGCUUUCUAACCCGCACCACUUAUCGUGGUGGGAGACAGUGUCAGGCGGGCAGUUUGACUGGGGCGGUCGCCUCCUAAAAGGUAACGGAGGCGCUCAAAGGUUCCCUCAGAAUGGUUGGAAAUCAUUCAUAGAGUGUAAAGGCAUAAGGGAGCUUGACUGCGAGACCUACAAGUCGAGCAGGGUCGAAAGACGGACUUAGUGAUCCGGUGGUUCCGCAUGGAAGGGCCAUCGCUCAACGGAUAAAAGCUACCCCGGGGAUAACAGGCUUAUCUCCCCCAAGAGUUCACAUCGACGGGGAGGUUUGGCACCUCGAUGUCGGCUCAUCGCAUCCUGGGGCUGUAGUCGGUCCCAAGGGUUGGGCUGUUCGCCCAUUAAAGCGGUACGCGAGCUGGGUUCAGAACGUCGUGAGACAGUUCGGUCCCUAUCCGUCGUGGGCGUAGGAAAUUUGAGAGGAGCUGUCCUUAGUACGAG
rnacentral:rRNA from 1 species